rnacentral:tRNA from 1 species
AUGGCAGGAAGUAGUUUAAGUAGAAUGUCAGCUUUGGGUGCUGAUGGUGGGGCGUAAGGUCUUCUUC